CCGGCGUUGACGCCGUUUUACCGCCGCAGAUGUCACCGCCGGCGCCUCCAUGGUGCCUCCCCGGCUUCAACUCCGCCAGAUCCCGCACCACCAUGAAGAUCUCCGCCUUUGCCUGGUUCAAAAGGUUGCGUGACAUGGACUUGACACGAUCAGAGAUGUAGCAUAGUGAUCCAGCGCCUAUUGGGCCUAGGCCCAUGUUCCCGCCAGCUUCUUCGACGCUGAGCGUGCGGCAGGCCUCUAUCCGCUGCUCAG